UUUAAGGUUAAAAGAAAGAGGGG
rnacentral:piRNA from 1 species